rnacentral:rRNA from 1 species
AUCGAACGCUGGCGGCAGGCUUAACACAUGCAAGUCGAGCGGAGAUGAGGUGCUUGCACCUUAUCUUAGCGGCGGACGGGUGAGUAAUGCUUAGGAAUCUGCCUAUUAGUGGGGGACAACAUUCCGAAAGGAAUGCUAAUACCGCAUACGCCCUACGGGGGAAAGCAGGGGAUCUUCGGACCCUGCGCUAAUAGAUGAGCCUAAGUCGGAUUAGCUAGUUGGUGGGGUAAAGGCCUACCAAGGCGACGAUCUGUAGCGGGUCUGAGAGGAUGAUCCGCCACACUGGGACUGAGACACGGCCCAGACUCCUACGGGAGGCAGCAGUGGGGAAUAUUGGACAAUGGGCGGAAGCCUGAUCCAGCCAUGCCGCGUGUGUGAAGAAGGCCUUUUGGUUGUAAAGCACUUUAAGCGAGGAGGAGGCUACCUGGAUUAAUACUCUAGGAUAGUGGACGUUACUCGCAGAAUAAGCACCGGCUAACUCUGUGCCAGCAGCCGCCGUAAGAC